CACCAAUGGAGCUGUGUGGAUAUGACACAUGGGAAUUUCUGACAUAUCUCUCCCUAUCCUGACCUUGACAGGCACAAUAAAAAGGGGCCUCACGGCACACACACACAGAGUCACUCAGCCCCAUAGCCCAGGGUAUUUGGCUGAUCUGUUUGCUGCUGACUAGACUUUAUCCUUCCAGUAGUCAAUAUGAGUAGGAUGGACAGGGAUGAAUUAGGGGAGGCUGCCGAGUACCUCCGGAAAAGUUAUGAGGAGAUGAUGAAGUAUCAGACUAUGGCAUUUGAUGGUAAG